AAAAAAUACAUGAAGAAUGCCAGAAUGCGAGACCAUUUAUACAAACUACGAAGUCGUCAAAUUACUGCUCGCCGGCUAAAAUGCAAAAGAAAAUAUCCUACUUUGUGAUCAAGUGAAUGAAAACUGAUUUUCUUUCACCCGAGUAUAUAUCUUUUAUCUAUACAGUAAAUACUACAAAGUUGUUAUGUAUAAGGCCUUUGUGGUUAGUUAGUUAGUGAACUUUAUUUAAAAACACGGUGUCUCAUCAUUACAAAAUGCUCUUCCUGGGAGCCGUGUACA